UAUUCUGUGUCAUGGGACGGCUAAGAUACAUUGGCUUUUCCAACUAGCCGCCAUGAUCUUCCCUUUCCUCCUAUUGAUGUGGUUAAUCCAAUGGAUAUCCUUACUUGGUGUCUCACGUCUCGGUUAUUAUAUCUCCAUCUUAAUUGCACGUUUGAUUAUGUAACUACACAGGCCAUUAAUAACCCCUCUCAUCAGCUUUCUCUUGAUUGAUUCUUCUCACCUCUCAUUAAUAACCCCUCUAAACGGCUCAAAAACCUUUAGCAGCUUUAGAUUUUCUCUUCAACAACGUAGGAUUUUACCAUUCCAAUUCAAUAUUUGGGGACGUUACAAAACUGAAACGCUCCUCCCAUCAUUAAGCGGGUCUUCUCUAUAAAAUGUCUAAUCCAAUUCGAGAACAACAUCCGUUCUUCAGGUUGAACAUUUUCUUCGCAAAGAUUACGCAUUUGGGGAAGGACCAAUUUCUUCAGAAGAUUCCAGCUUGCUUAUUGGUAAUACACAAGCAACUGAAUCCACUAAUAGUAUUUAAUUACAUCAUACUGCUUCUGAUAAAUAAAACAACAUCGUACUGCCUUACCAUCAAUACAUUAUUUUUACCAUUUCAAUCCUUUUUUUCAUUUUAGGCCAUUACUCAACUUCGUAUUAGUAUGUAGGUCUAUGCUUCUUAAUGAAGGAUUAAGUUUGUGAACAUCAUUGAUUUUUCUCCGUGUCAAAAAAAAGUUUGGUGAACAUCAUCUGUUUGUGUAAAUGCUUAAAAAACAAAAUCCCUAUCUAAUUUUGGUUUCCGAACUAAUGUUUGGUUCACCUUAUUCUGUUAAACUUUUAGUUCAUUUUUGUUUUCAAGCUUUAGGCUACUCCACUAUUUCUGUUAAAAUUUGGUUCACCUAAUUUUGGUAGCUACUAAAAAUGAAAGAAGCAAGAAGUUCCGACCCUAGAAAAUAAUUUGCUAAUAAAACACCUUUUUGGGCUACUCCACCAUUUCCACCUCAGGCUGUGGUUAUCAACACUUUUGGGCUUACACCCAAAUUUCAAAGUAUCCAAACUUGGAACUAAGCAUCAAUUCAGGCCAUUGAGUAGAUGAGAAAUGAUAACCCAUAUGCUAACAUGCUUUUGUAUCGAGCAAAAUUGCCACCAAGGAAACACAAGCAAUUUAUAGCUCAGAUUCUCAAGUAAGAAUGUGAGAUUGGGAGUUGUUGCAACUGCAGCAGAAUUGUUGCAAUCAAGACACGCUGAAGCCAGUACCAAAUACAUAAAGAGUCUGAAAAUGAAUGUGUCAUUACAUUACAGCAAGGGUAUCCAUUAACUAUUCUGGCGCAGAUUACUCACUUCUCAGAAUUGAAUUCAAUGAAUGUGUCCGAUGGGACAGGAACAACAGUAUUUCUGGUAGAAGGAUUUGCAGCGGAUGAAUUAGUGGGUAGUACAACAUAUUCCUUGAUGCGCAUAAAAGAGUUGUAGGGAGUUCAACAUGUGCACGACGUUCUUUACAAGAUCUUGCUUCGUCAGAUUGUGUUCCGGGUUCAGUUACCAACAUAUGCGCAUGACUAGGAGGACAAGAUUUAUGUUGUUACUAAAGCAUUCCUCAGAUGAUGUGUGCUUUCUGUGUAUGCUUUUUAUGGACGUUUAAACUGUGUCCUUAUAUUUAUGUAUUCGUUUGAUAUAUGUAUCCUACCAUUAGAAUUCAUAUUAGGUUAGGAACUGAGAAAAUAAGAACAGAUGGACGAUGCCGAGAACAUACAGAUGAUGCAAAUCCACGUAUGUUAGUGCGGUGCCUAUGUAAAAAAUAAAAAAGGGAAGGUGGACAGAGUUUUGCAUUAGUUUCAAAAAUGGGUACGCUGCUGAAACAAUCAAAAAACACAUUUUGUUGUUGGUAGAUUAACAUGAUUAUAACGAGAUUUCAUGGAUACAAUUCAA